ACAACAACAUUCGGACCGUCGGUCUAUCGAGCAAUAUCAACCGCUCGGUUGAAGAUCUCCCCUUUGUCGUAUAUA
rnacentral:pre_miRNA from 1 species